rnacentral:tRNA from 1 species
GGCCUAAUGGUCUAGGGGUAUGAUUUUCGCUUUGGGCGAGAGGUCCCGGGUUCAAAUCCCGGUUGGGCCC